AUUUAUACGCAAUGUUUCUCUCAUAUAAUAGCGGGGAUAUGGCCUGCGAGUUUCUACCCAAAAACCGAAUAAAUUUUUGGACUAUGAGGGAAAGCACAUUCUCA
rnacentral:ncRNA from 2 species